rnacentral:misc_RNA from 1 species
GAUGAAGAACGUAGCGAAAUGCGAUAAGUAAUGUGAAUUGUAGAAUUCAGUGAAUCAUCGAAUCUUUGAACGCACAUUGCGCCCCUUGGUAUUCCGAGGGGCAUGCCUGUUCGAGCGUCAUUAUAACCCCUCAAGCUCAGCUUGGUGUUGGGGCCUGCUGCACUGGCAGCCCUUAAAAUCAGUGGCGGCGCCAUCUGGCUCUAAGCGUAGUAAUUCUUCUCGCUAUGGAGUCCUGGUGGAUGCUUGCCAUCAACCCCCAAUUUUUCUAUGGUUGACCUCGGAUCAGGUAGGGAUACCCGCUGAACUUAAGCAUAUCAAUAAGCGGAGGA